rnacentral:lncRNA from 1 species
GCCAGCAAGAAGCCCUCAGCCCUCCAAUAGCAAGGAACUGAAUUUUGCCAAUGAGGUAAGUGAGCUUAGAAGCAAGUUCUCACCCCGAUGAGACCACAGCCCCAGCAACUUUGAAGUCCUGCAAGGCUCAAAGCAGAGGAUCCAGCCAAGCCAUGCCUGAGUUCCUGACACACAGACACUGUGAGACAGUAAAUGUGUUGUUCUAAGCCAUUAAGUUUGUGGUAAUAUCAUCACACAACAAUAUAAAACAAACACUUUUUCCAUUGAAGGAAUUGAAAAUUUGAGGCACAUCUUUGGGAGCAGACUAUGCUCAAGAAAUUAUAAAAUUGGAAUAUCCACCAUCAUAUUGCUCAUGCAGGGGAUGAAGGUCAAGACAUGAAGCUGAGACGAUAUUUCUAAAAAUAAAGCGUCUCCUCCUUCUCUACCUGUCUCCGAAACUGGGUACUGAAACAAAGCCAGGAACACCCUUCGUAGCAACUCCCUCGCUGCCAGGAGAUUUGUUUUCAAAGCAUCUGACAAGCCACAUCCGAUUCAUCCUCAAAACUGACUUGUCAGGGGAAUAAACAAGUGUCAGAACUUCCCAAGAAAUCUAGUGAUGAAAAGGCCUUUAACGAUGAACAAAUUAAAUUCAGUUCUCACGCCAAGCAACAGAAAGAAAGCGAAGUGAAAAGCCACAGAAGACAAGCACAGCAACAAGUCGACCAUCAUUUCUGCCAUUGAAGGAGAAUGUUACCUGAGACCACCCUUGGUCACAACUCUAAGAUAUCCCUCGGUCUCCCUGAGGUGCGCUGUGCAGAGAUUGGACAUCACAAGCUUC